rnacentral:snRNA from 1 species
GUGCCAGCUUCAGAAGCACAUGUACUAAAAUUGGAAUGACAGAGAAGACUAGUAAGAAGCUGUGCAAAGUUGGUACACAAAUAUAAAGCAUUCCAUAUUUUU